AGAUUCCCUCAGAAAAUCCCUCCUCAAACACAUCAUUUUAGGGUUUCAUGUCAGAAAAAGCUAUAAAAAGGACCCUUAUCCCAUUUUAGAAGGGAGGAAGCAAGUAGAGGAAGAAAAGGAAUAAGGGAGGCAGCAGCUGAAGAGUCACAAUCAUCUCCCACUCCAUUUCCAACCAGAUUUGGUGAUUUCUUUCUUUUUUUAUAUUUUUCCUACAUUUCUAGUGUUU
rnacentral:misc_RNA from 1 species